UACGAAGGGGGCUAGCGUUGUUCGGAAUUACUGGGCGUAAAGCGCACGUAGGCGGAUACUUAAGUCAGGGGUGAAAUCCCGGGGCUCAACCCCGGAACUGCCUUUGAUACUGGGUAUCUCGAGUCCGGAAGAGGUGAGUGGAAUUCCGAGUGUAGAGGUGAAAUUCGUAGAUAUCGGAAGGAACACCAGUGGCGAAAGCGGCUUCCUGGUCCAGCACCGACGUUCAGGCACGAAAGCGUGGGGAGCAAACAGG
rnacentral:rRNA from 1 species